UAGUACUUUUUUUUUUUUUUUUUUUUUUUUUUUUUUUUUUUUUUUUUUUUUUUUUUCACCUGAGGCGUGCUACAGUUA
rnacentral:ribozyme from 13 species